CCUACGGGAGGCAGCAGUAGGGAAUCUUCCACAAUGGGCGAAAGCCUGAUGGAGCAACGCCGCGUGAGUGAAGAAGGUUUUCGGAUCGUAAAACUCUGUUGUAAGGGAAGAACAAGUGCAGUAGUAACUGGCUGCACCUUGACGGUACCUUAUUAGAAAGCCACGGCUAACUACGUGCCAGCAGCCGCGGUAAUACGUAGGUGGCAAGCGUUGUCCGGAAUUAUUGGGCGUAAAGCGCGCGCAGGCGGUUUCUUAAGUCUGAUGUGAAAGCCCUCGGCUUAACCGAGGAGGGUCAUUGGAAACUGGGAGACUUGAGUGCAGAAGAGGAAAGUGGAAUUCCAAGUGUAGCGGUGAAAUGCGUAGAGAUUUGGAGGAACACCAGUGGCGAAAGGCGACUUUCUGGUCUGUAACUGACGCUGAGGCGCGAAAGCGUGGGGAGCAAAACAGGAUUAGAUACCCUGGUAGUCCACGCCGUAAACGAUGAGUGCUAAGUGUUAGGGGGUUUCCGCCCCUUAGUGCUGCAGCUAACGCAUUAAGCACUCCGCCUGGGGAGUACGGUCGCAAGACUGAAACUCAAAGGAAUUGACGGGGGCCCGCACAAGCGGUGGAGCAUGUGGUUUAAUUCGAAGCAACGCGAAGAACCUUAC
rnacentral:rRNA from 1 species